UGGGGAAUAUUGCACAAUGGGCGAAAGCCUGAUGCAGCGACGCCGCGUGAGGGAAGAAGGUUUUCGGAUUGUAAACCUCUGUCUUCGGGGACGAUAAUGACGGUACCCGAGGAGGAAGCCACGGCUAACUACGUGCCAGCAGCCGCGGUAAAACGUAGGUGGCAAGCGUUGUCCGGAAUUACUGGGUGUAAAGGGAGCGCAGGCGGAAGGGCAAGUUGGGAGUGAAAACUAUGGGCUCAACCCAUAGACUGCUUUCAAAACUGCUUUUCUUGAGUGAUGUAGAGGUAGGCGGAAUUCCCGGUGUAGCGGUGGAAUGCGUAGAUAUCGGGAGGAACACCAGUGGCGAAGGCGGCCUACUGGGCAUUUACUGACGCUGAGGCUCGAAAGUAUGGGGAGCAAACA
rnacentral:rRNA from 1 species